rnacentral:ribozyme from 1 species
GCCGCUCGAAACUUUGCACACCUCUACGUGGUGAGCGGCAGACAACACAGUAUGGAUGCUGUGGCUGAGAUGCAAGG